rnacentral:rRNA from 1 species
GACGAACGCUGGCGGCGUGCCUAAUACGUGCAAGUCGAACGAGAGCGACCGGCGCUUGCACUGGUCAAUCUAGUGGCGAACGGGUGAGUAACACGUGGGUAACCUGCCCAUCAGAGGGGGAUAACAUCCGGAAACGGAUGCUAAAACCGCAUAGGUCUUCGAGCCGCAUGGCUUGAAGAGGAAAAGAGGCGCAAGCUUCUGCUGAUGGAUGGACCCGCGGUGCAUUAGCUAGUUGGUGAGGUAACGGCUCACCAAGGCCGUGAUGCAUAGCCGACCUGAGAGGGUGAUCGGCCACAUUGGGACUGAGACACGGCCCAAACUCCUACGGGAGGCAGCAGUAGGGAAUCUUCCGCAAUGGACGCAAGUCUGACGGAGCAACGCCGCGUGAGUGAAGAAGGUUUUCGGAUCGUAAAACUCUGUUGUUAGAGAAGAACAAGUGCUAGAGUAACUGUUAGCGCCUUGACGGCAUCUAACCAGAAAGCCACGGCUAACUACGUG